rnacentral:rRNA from 1 species
GGGGGCACCUGAUCAGCAUGCCGCGUGAGUGAAGAAGGCCUUCGGGUUGUAAAGCUCUUUUGUCAGGGAAGAAACACCGGCUCUAACACAGUCCGGGAAUGACGGUACCUGAAGAAUAAGCACCGGCUAACUACGUGCCAGCAGCCGCGGUAAUACGUAGGGUGCGAGCGUUAAUCGGAAUUACUGGGCGUAAAGCGUGCGCAGGCGGUUAUACAAGACAGGCGUGAAAUCCCCGGGCUUAACCUGGGAAUGGCGCCUGUGACUGUAUAGCUAGAGUGUGUCAGAGGGGGGUAGAAUUCCACGUGUAGCAGUGAAAUGCGUAGAUAUGUGGAGGAAUACCAAUGGCGAAGGCAGCCCCCUGGGAUAACACUGACGCUCAUGCACGAAAGCGUGGGGAGCAAACAGGAUUAGAUACCCUGGUAGUCCACGCCCUAAACGAUGCUGACUAGUUGUUCGGGAUUUACAUCCUGAGUAACGUAGCUAACGCGUGAAGUCAGCCGCCUGGGGAGUACGGUCGCAAGAUUAAAACUCAAAGGAAUUGACGGGGACCCGCACAAGCGGUGGAUGAUGUGGAUUAAUUCGAUGCAACGCGAAAAACCUUACCUACCCUUGACAUGUCACUAACGAAGUAGAGA